CUCUCACGAACACAUCGCAGCAUCCACCAUGCGCCUCAUCCUGUGGUACCUGUCCUUGACCUGUGGGUGGGGUGUGAGACAGCAAGAGUGAGCUCACACAUGUUCAUCGCUCAACAAGUUGUUGGGAAUAAUGUGGCAUGAACUCACCAAAGGUGGGAGUUCAUGUGAUGUGUAAGGCUGAUCAACAAUAGAGGUUAAAGUUGAGCAUUGCUUUUAAUAAGUUGGUCAAAAUUUUAUUAGCAAUUACUAGAUAUAAGUAAAUACCAAACCACAAUAAGAAUAAUAGAACAAAAUUAAUAAAUAAUCCCAUGCAAUGCAUAAUACAUUUUGAGUUUAAGUUCCAUAAUUUAAUCAUGCGAGAGUCCUGAGCUGCUCAUGACCGUGAGCUCGGCUAGUAUACCAGUUUUACACUCUUCAGAGGUUAUACCAUGUACCCACAAGUCAUGUAUCCCAUGUCGCCAGGUUUUGCAACGCCCUUAGACACUACCGAGGUGAAUGGCUAGGGAUCCACUACGAGGCCUUUACAAAGUUCCACUAGCUUCCGAAAACUCGCUACAGUUUAUGGAAAGAGCACUUGCAAGAAUCCCUCAUCUGACUGCCAUCGCAGCAAAAUCAACCCGAGAACCUCCCUGCAUGCAACUCCCCUACUGCCCUUGCCCCUUUCGGGUAAGGUAGUCUUCCACAAGCUUUCCUAAUUAGUUAGCCAAGGGCAUCCCAUUCCACCCUUGUGGUGGCACGUGUUUCUCAAGUUAAGCUCCAUGUUCCAAUUAAAGAUAAUGAUGAUCUUGACAUGAACAUAAAUAAAAUAACAACAUAAUUAGAACAUGGAUAUAAUGAAAUAUUAACCCAAAACCAUGUAAAGCAAUAGCAUAACUACCCAAGUGAUUCAGGGGUAAACAAGGUAAAAUGGAUAAACAGACUAGGGUGACCGAUUGGGUCCCAUCAAAAUUAAACCUAUGCAUGAAUAAGUGAUAUUAAUGAACAUUAUUGGGUAAAAAGUGAUCAAGGGCACAACUUGCCUGGGACUUGAGAUUACAGGUACCAGGAUGAUCUUCAGGUGACUUGUGACCUCACGCUAGUCAUAGCAAUACAAACAAACAUGGUAUAGACAAAAUUAACAUCACACCAAACAUAAGAAUAAACUGCAUAAUAAUGAUCUAGGCGUCGCUACGAGAUCGUGGGAUCGAGAACUAGUAGGAUCGGAGUCAUGGUUAAGGAGUUAUGAUUUAUGGGAGAUCUACGUGAUUUAACUAUUAAACUAUAUUAUUAAUUGAUUAGAGUACACCAUAUGAGAAAAUAUUGUAUAAAUAAUUGAAUCAACAUUAGUUUCAAUUAUAACUUGACUAGAGAUCAUACUUUAAUCAAAUUAUAAUUAUGGACAUGUUAGAUUUGGUUUAGAAGAGCUAAUCUAGUAGACAUAGGAUAAAUAGAUAUAAAAGUAUGCGACAAGGUAUAAUUAAUGUUGUUACUGUGUAGUACAUAUUUAUACGAGCUAACACAAUUAGAACGAUUCAAUUCGGAAUUAAAACGGAGGAGUUAUGAAUUUCCAAAGUUAUUAAGUGCUUAGUAUAGAAUUAAUCAAGUGAAUAAUUUUAAUUCAAGUUUCAUGGCUAAACAAAGAUACUAUAUGAUAAGCAAAAUUAAAACAAAAUUAUUGCAACUAGAACGGAUCAAUUUGGAGUUCAUAUGAAUUUUCUAUGAAUUUAUUGAGUUUCUGGAUUUAUUUAUGUACAAAAAGUAUUUCCUGUUGGGGGCCUUCGUCUUCCGAAGGUCCUCAAAAACACGACUAACAUGUUUUCCAAGUGUAAUAUACUGUUACAGGAACCUUCGGCUUUGAGAUGAAGGUGCACACAGUAUGAAAGGAGCACUCUGGAAGAAGGAUGAGUCAGUUCCGAAGCUAUGGAUGAUGAAGCUUCAGCUUAGCACAAAGACAGUGAUGGAGAAUGAAACCGACCUAAAGGGGAAAAGACUGCUUAGUCCUUGACAGAUUAUUCCUUAGUCAAUAGAAAAUGUCAAGGACUUGGAUAUAAUUUUACCCAGGCUGCGUCAUGUGCCUAUAAAUAGAUGAACAGUAAUAACGUACUGUUCACGUUGACUGGGAUUCACUCGCACGUCACUCUUGAAUUCUUACCUUCUGUCAAGCCGAAGGUAUAAAUGUAACUCAAUAUCGUUAAUGUUUGUUCAUGAUCAUAUAAUGAGAAGAUAGAUGAUCUAAUGAUUUGAUAUGAGUAUUUAUAUUAUCUGUAUGUAACAUAUGUACCUACAUUUCAUUAUAUAUUGAGAUGAUGAAGGUAUGUCCUUCAUUACCUUCGUUUGAAGAUCAUUAUAUCCUAAGGGAGAUAAUGCUUCGAAGGACGAAGGUCAUUAACUAUUAACAUUUGUGUUGCCUUGUUCUUAACUCGUAGCAUUUGAGAACAAGUGAACAACAUUGGCGCCCACCUCCGAUGAACUCAUUUGACCACCUUCGGCAAGCUGUGACCUUCAUCAUGCCGCCAAAGAAGUCUUCAGGGCUAGGGGCUGCACUGCAGCCACUGGACGUCAACCAAGACACAUUACGCGAAGCUAGGAGCCAAAAAAGGAAGGCUACCAGUCCGACACCUCAAGAGGAGGAGUUGGACCAAGAUAUCAGGGACCUCGAAGCCAUUCAUCAACAGGUCCAGAGGAAAAAGGAAAAGAUGCUUUGUCUCGCCGAUCUUCAGAAGAAGAUUGAUGAGGCCGCUGAAGAAAUGCGUCAUCUCACCCCAGAUGACCAAGUGUGAUACCCGGUUUGCAAAGAAGAGAAGUUGGAGGUUAUUCUUUUUUUGUUUUUUCUCAUUCGGGUGAUGUGCUUUGGGGAUUUGGAAUUUGUGGAAAACAUUCACCAGUAAGACAGUAGAAUUUCUUUGGUUAGACGCUUGCGACAGGGUCGGGAGCUGUCGCGUGGGCGAGUUGGGCCAUGAAUCUCGAUCCGGCCCAUUAGCCUCCCCUUAACCCUAGCCGCCCUCCCCCUAAUCCCCUCCCCUUGUGCAGCCGCCCCCCCAUUUCUCCUAGCCCUUGGCCGCCGUCCCCCUCCCAUCUCCUCGUCCCUCAAACUCUUGCAGCCACACCAUCUAACCCUAGCCCCCCCCCCAUCUCCUCCUCCCCAAGGUGCCAUUCCUUGUCGCUUGGAUCUAUGUCGCGUGGUGCAAGUCUCCAAUUGGUUUUGGUGGAGGGAAGAAGGGAGGAAGGAAAGGGGGAGAAUCCAAGGUUAUUUUUGUGUUUAUCUCUUGUUUAUUUGUGCUGCAAUUCAAUUGAAUAGAUGUUGCGUAUGCGAAUUAGUAGAGGUGCUGUCCAGAAAUUUAGUGGGUGGGUGAACAGCAGUAGUUCUAGCAGUUUCUGGGAAUUUUUCGUGGGUAAUUAGUGAUAAACAGUAUGAGAAUCAUGUAGAUCUUUGUCAUACCUUUCCAACGAGUACUUAUGCGCUCAAUUCGGAGUUAUAAAUUAGGAGAUAUCGUCGUUUGAACCCGGGUAUGUGGCUGUCCCAAAAAACAGAUUUCUGCAGGUGGGCGUACAGCAGUAGUAUUAGCAGUUUCUAGGGAUUUUUCGUGGGUAAUUAGUGAUAAACAGUAUGCGAAUUAUGUAGAGCUUUAGCAUACCUUUUCAACAAGUACUUAUGCGCUCAAUUCGGAAUUAUAAAUUAGGAGAUAUCGCUGUUUGAAUCCGGGUAUGUUGCUGUCCAAAAAAACAGAUUGCAGGGUUUAUCUUUUGGACUGUUUUGGACUAAAUAAAUAUUAGAAUUUAAUUAUAAAUUGUAUACAAAACUUGUGGGGAAUUUUGUGUAGAUGCCUCUGGAGUUUUUGUUUGUUAUCACUGCUGUCAUAAUUUUAAAGUUAUGAAAUUGUUAAGCAGCGCCGCUGCAGUUUGGUGGGUGUGGGGAGAGUUGUUACCCGCGGCGGGGUUUGAGAUUGUGCGUAGGUGCGGCGUCGUUUAUGAGCGUUAUUAUGUGAAAUUAGUGCACUAAGUUGUGUGUCAAAAACAGGUGGUGGACUUCCGGAUCGUACUUAGGGAUUUGCCCAAACUUCCGGUGAAGGCAAGUAAAACAGUGAUGGUUAUUCCGUGUGUCGAUUAAAGAGUCUUAUGCUUGAUUAUGUUUGUGCCAUUUGUGUUCGUAUUCAUAUUCCUAAUUGGGUACCAUCGUUUGAAGAUAUUCAUGUUUUAUUGAUUACAUAUGUUGAGUUUGUGGUUUGGUCAUGUAACCCAUGUGGUUUAUUAUGUGGAAUGGGUGAAAGUAUAUGUCUAGCAUAUUUUAUUUGGGAAGGACUCAUGUUGUUGACAUGCAUAAUGCAUUCAUCAUCCAUUGCAUGGAAGUUUCGUCGCGAUCUUAUGGUCCGGCCGUACCGGUACAAUGAGCAUCAUAUGUUGCCCGAGAAGGGGUAUGAUGCAGCUUCAUAUCCUUAGAGGUAUGAAGGCAGAAGUCAUUACUGCAUCUGUAGCCAUGUGCAUUCAUGGGAGAAGUGUGAAACCUAUUAUGGUGAUGUGGAUAGUGUGGAUCUUUACUUUGUGAUUCAUCUUGGCAUUAAGUAAUUGGUUACUUGCUCACUUGCUGCAAAUUAAUAUUUAAGAAAUAAGUUGUGAACUACGUGGUUGUUUAGGCACGGUUGGUUUACAUUGUCUAAUUGUUGUUUGCUCUUUUUACUUGCUGAGAUGUGUCAUCUCACUCUUGCAUUGUCUAAUGCAGGCACUUGAUCUUUUCUUUGGGAAAGAAGGGAUGUAGCAGCACGGCCACUACACCAUUAAAUAAAGGAACCACUGCUUAAUAAUGGUGUUAAACAGGGAGGGUCAAGUCUAGGGGAUUAUUAUAUUCUAGCCUUUCAUGGUAGUUGAACGGUUUUUUUGUGGGCUGAGUUACCUAUCUUUUAUUUGUUCAUGAAUGUUCAUUACUACCGUUGCAUUUCGAUUAUACUAUGUGAAUUAUCUUUCUUUUAUAUCCUGUUUAAACUUUAUGUUCCUCUUGUUAUGCUUCUUUCAAGGGAGGUGCUACCGGAUUUUGCAAUACUUUCUUUCUCUAUUUCUUUUCUUGUGUUGCAUAAGUUUUGUGGGAAAGGUAUUUGGUAACAUCCAUUGUGUGGGAUCAGCGGGGUGUUACAGUUGGUAUCAUAGGAAUAGGCUGUAGGUCCUAGCAAGUGGAAUAAUAAUAAAUUGACACACUGCACAUGUAGGAUGGGUUUUCUGCUUUACUAUUGAUAUGUUAUGUUAUUAUCUAUGCUAGUUUGACAUUAUCUGAAGAGGUGCUAUGCCAAUCUUAUUUACUUAUUAUUCUCACCCCUGUGGCUGCAGCUAUGCCGCCUCGUAGGGCUCGGAGCAGUCCGCAAGUUCCUAGUGGGGACUCGAUGAGUCCGGCGGCAAUGUUAGCCGCGAUGCAGGCCAUGUAGCAGGAGUUGGCCAUUUUGAGGCAAGCUAUUCCUGUUGCCCCUACGGGUGCUGCUCAGGGUGCUGGUGGUGGAGGAGUGCCCGGGGGCGCUGUCCCUGCGGGUGCUGCUCCAGGUGGCGGGGCCGAGGUGCCUCUUCCAGUCAGUGGUCUUUCUUUGAUGCAGUGGAUGGGCAUGAAGUUGGAUACUUUUGAUGGCAGUGGUAUUCUGAUCGAGGCGGUGGAUUGGCUAACUUACGUGGAGGAUAAGAUGAAUGUCUUCGAGAUUGUGUAUGGUGAUCGUGUUCGCUUUGGCACAAAGCUGCUGAUGGGAGAAUCUCAGAUUUGGUGGAGGGGCGUGCAGGCAGCUCACUCCUCUUCACCAGGAGUCCUGUCCUGGGAUGUUUUUAUCAGGUAGUUUGAGAGGAGGUUCUACCCGGUCACCUUCCUGGAGAAAAUAAAGAUUGAUUUGCAGUCCUACAAGCAAGAGAAGAAGUCUGUCAUAGAAUAUGAAGUGGGCUUCAACAAGAUGGUCUGUUUUGUCCCUCAUGUGGCUUAUAAUGAGAUGGAGAAGGCGAGCCAGUUCCGUCAGGGUCUGAAACCUUCUAUCAGGCAUGCCCUAGGAGCCUUUCUGUUGGUGGACUUCCGUACUACAGUGGAGCAGGCACUGGGUGUGGAGAUGCAACACCAGUAUACCAUGGAGUCGCAGAAGUCUUCGGGUGUUGAUCAGCCUCGUGGCCAGGACGCGAGGAGGGGCAACACUGGAGGUCCAGCCCACAAGAGGGGCAAGUCUCAGCAUCAGCGCCACCAUCCCUACCAUGGCAAAUCUUCUGACUCGGGUACUUUGGGAGGAAGUACUCAGAGGUUUCGGGCUGUUCCUAAGCCCGGGCUGGGGCUGGUGUGUUUCCGUUGUGGUGAUGCGCAUCGCCGUGCAGAGUGCCAGUGGAAUGGCAGGUGUUCAAUCUGCAGUCAAGACCACAAGGAUGUGGUGUGUAGGAGGAAUCCCAAUGGGAAGCUCAGAUGGGAGCCAGUGACUUCCUCCUCUUCUCAGGGCACAGUCAACAUGAUGUCAAGCGCUGAGCAGCAAUUUUUAGUUCCACUUCCUCCGCAUCAGUUUUAUGUGCCUGGGACUUCUCAGUUCAUGCCGAUGUAGGGUUUUCCUCAGUAUCUGGCUGCGCCUACUCCUGCACCGACUACUCCUAUGUCGUCUCAGUUUGGAGCUCCGCGUCUGCCUCACCCAACGGCUCAGUGGGGUUCUUCUGUUAAUUUCACUCCAGGAGCUUCCUCUUCUGCAGGUAUUUCCGGAGCUUAUGUGCUACCCGCUGCAAAUGGCAGAGAGCAAAAAGACGUGGUGACAGGUACGAUUUCAGUUGAUUCGUUUGUGGCCCAUGCUCUUUUUGACUCUGGCGCUAGCUAUUCGUUUGUUUCGGAGAAUUUUGUGUCGCGGGCUGGUCUUUCAGUGCAGAGGUUGGGUCACCCAAUUUUGGUUAGUUCUGCUAAUGGCUCCAUUAGUAGCUGUUCAGUUUGUCAGGGGUGUUCCGUCAUUCUUGCUGAUGAGGUCUUUUCGACCAAUCUUGUUGUGAUUUCCUUGGGGGCAUUCGAUGUUAUCUUGGGUAUGGAUUGGUUAUCUCAGUAUCGCGCAGUUAUAUCCUAUUUUUGGAAGAUAGUGUUAUUGCAGGCGCCAUCGGGUAGGGAGGUGGUAUUCUUGGGAAGUUCCCCAAAGUUCACGUUAUCUUUGUUGGCGCAAUUGCUUCCGGAUCGCCGGUCAAGGAAGUCAGGAAUCUUUUUCUCCAUGGUGGUGGAGGGUGAGGCUGCCUUGCGGGUGCAGGACAUCUGGGUGGUGUGUGACUUUGCCGACGUUUUUCUGGCAGAGCUUCCAGGCAUUCCUCCGGAGCGCGAUGCAGCUUUUGAGAUCAAGAUGAUUCCGGGUAUGCAGCCUAUUCAUAAGGCCCCGUAUCGGAUGGCCCCAAAGGAGCAGGUUGAAUUAAAGCGGCAAUUGGAUGAUUUGCUGGCUAAGGGUUUCAUUAGGCCUAGCAGGUCUCCAUGGGCUUCCACAGUAUUGUUUGUUGAGAAGAAGGAUAAAAGCAAGAGGCUAUGUGUAGAUUAUCGCGCUUUGAAUCAAGUGACAAUCAAGAAUAAAUAUCCGCUACCCCGUAUUGAGGUUCUCUUUGAACAGUUGAGGGGUGCCCAGGUGUUCUCCAAAAUUGAUUUGAACUCUGGUUAUCAUCAAUUGAGGAUUCGUGAGGAGGAUAUUGAGAAGACCGCUUUUUGCACCAGGUAUGGGCAUUAUGAGUUCAUAGUCAUGUCUUUUGGCUUAACUAAUGCCCCUGCUGCUUUUAUGGAAGCAAUGAAUAGGAUGUUGCAUGAGUUCUUGGACGACUUUGUGGUCGUGUUCUUGGAUGAUAUUCUAAUUUAUUCAAAGACCGAGGCUGAGCAUGAGCAGCAUCUCUGUCUCAUUCUGGGUGCCCUUAGGAAGAAUCAGUUCUAUGGCAAGUUGAAGAAGUGUGCCUUUUGGCUGUCCGAAGUGGCUUUCCUGGGGCAUGUGAUUAAUCAGCAGGGCAUUGCAGUUGAUCCCAAGAAUGUUGCGGCUCUGGUGGAGUGGAAGAGACCCUCUAGUGUCUCUAAAAUAUGAAGUUUCUUGGGGCUCGCUGGAUAUUAUCGGCGCUUCGUACCAAAUUUUUCUAGCAUUGCUAAGCCUUUGACUAGACUCUUGGAGAAGGGUGCUCUCUUCGUCUGGUCCAGCGAUUGCGAGGUCAGUUAUCAGACAUUGAAGAACAAGUUGGUGGACGUCCCUAUCCUAGCUUUUCCUGAGAGCGGUAAGAGUUUCACAGUUUAUACGGAUGCUUCACGAAUUGGUCUUGGCUAUGUGUUGAUACAGGAAGGCAGAGUGAUUGCUUAUGGCUCAAGGCAGUUCAGGAAGCAUGAGGGGAAUUAUCCAACUCAUGAUCUUGAAUUGGUUGCGGUGGUUUUUGCUCUAAAGUCGUGGAGGCAUUAUCUUUAUGGCGAGGCUUGUGACAUUUACACCGAUCAUAAAAGUCUCAAGUAUAUUUUCACUCAGAAGGAGCUGAAUUUGAGGCAGCAUCGGUGUCUCGAGUUGAUUAAAGAUUAUGAUUUGUCCAUUCAUUAUCACCCGGGGAAGGCAAAUGUGGUGGCUGAUGCCCUUAGCAGGUCCGGGGUUCCAAAAGUGGCCUUGUCGUUGAUCGCUGAUCUAGACCGUUUGGGGGUCGCUUUGUGCUAUGUCGGCAACGCUAUUGAGGAGACUCGUAUGCUUAUUCAAUCUUCCCUCAUGGAGAGAGUGUGUGCGACUCAGCAGCAGGAUCAUUUAUUGCAGGAAGCUCGAAAGAGGGUUGGCCCAGGAGUUCUCCAUUGAUGAGAAUGAUUUGGUUCGUUUCAGGGGCCACCUUUGUGUGCCUCAGAAAUCAGAGGUGAAGAUGGAUAUCUUGAGAGAAGCUCAUAAAACGCCUUACACCGUUCACCCUAGCGAAACCAAAAUGUACCGAGAUCUGAAGCAAAACUUCUGGUGGAAGCGGAUGAAGGUUGACGUUUCUAAGUACGUGGCCGCCUGUGAAGUAUGUCAGCGCGUGAAGGCCGAGCAUAAGAGGCCUGUAGGUUUGCUAAAGCCAUUGGAAAUUCUGGAGUGGAAGUGGGAGCAUAUCACCAUGGAUUUUGUGGUGGGCUUACCUCGUUCUCCUCAGGGCAGGGAUGCUAUUUGGGUGGUAGUGGAUCGCUUGACUAAGUCUGCGCACUUUAUUCCCAUGAAGACCACCAAUUCAGCUUCAGAAUUGGUUCCCUUGUAUAUGAAGGAAGUAAUCAGGCUCCAUGGGUUGCCUAAGUCCAUUGUUUCUGAUUGAGGCUCCAAAUUUGUAUCCAAAUUCUGGGAGAGCCUUCACAGUGCAUUGGGUACCAAGCUUUCGCUUAGUGUCGCAUUUCACCCUCAAACUGAUGGUCAGUCAGAGCGAACGAUCCAAACCUUGGAAGAUAUGUUGCGUGCUUGUGUUCUGUCAUGGAAGGGCAUCUGGGAGGAUCAUCUUGCAUUAGCGGAGUUUGCUUAUAACAACAGCUACCAGGCUAGCAUCAAGAUGGCACCAUUUGAGGCUUUAUAUGGCAGGCGGUGUAUCUCCCCUCUGUGCUGGGAGACCUUGGGAGAGAGAUCCCUGGUUGAUCCUGAUUGGGUUCAUCAGACUUCUGAGAAGGUUCGGGAAAUUCUUCAUAAUAUUUUGGCCGCUCACAGCCGUCAGAAGAGUUAUGCUUAUGUGAGGAGGCGAGACUUGGAAUUUGCAGUGGGUGACCAAGUCCUCCUCAGGGUAUCACCUACUAAAGGAGUUGUUCGGUUCGGUGUCUUCGGAAAACUCAGCCCAAGAUACAUUGGAUCGUUCACUAUCUUGGCCCGAGUGGGCAGCCUGGCUUAUCGCUUGCAACUGCCGGAUUCCAUGGCAGGGGUACACCCGGUAUUUCAUGUCUCUAUGUUGAGGAAGUUCUUGCGGGAUCCGGACCAUCAGAUUGAGAUGGAACCAAUUGCUGUGCAGCAGGAUCUGACUUUGGAGUGUCAUCCGGUGUGUAUCUUGGAAUCCUCGGAGCGUGUUUUGAGGAAGAGAUCAAUUAAGUAUGUCAAGGUCUUAUGGACUAAUCAGUCUGAGCGCGAGGCAACGUGGGAACUUGAGGAGCUGAUGCGGCAGAAAUAUCCAGAACUUUUUAUUGUGGGUAAGUGUUGUUGAUUCAUUAAUCUUUCCUUUUGUCGUUCCGAUAGAAGCAUCAGAAUUCAUUAAUCUUUCCUUUUCUCCUAGCCCUUGGCCACCGCCCCCCUCCCAUCUCCUCCUCCCUCAAACUCUUGCAGCCACACCAUCUAACCCUAGCCGCCCCCCCCCCAUCUCCUCCUCCUCAAGGUGCCAUUCCUUGCCGCUUGGAUCUACGUCGCGUGGUGCAAGUCUCCAAUUGGUUUUGGUGGAGGGAAGAAGGGAGGAAGGAAAGGGGGAGAAUCCAAGGUGAUUUUUGUGUUUAUCUCUUGUUUAUUUGUGCUGCAAUUCAAUUGAAUAGAUGUUGCGUAUGCGAAUUGGUAGAGAUGUCCAGAAAUUUAGUGGGUGGGCGAACAGCAGUAGUUCUAGCAGUUUCUUGGAAUUUUUCGUGGGUAAUUAGUGAUAAACAUUAUGAGAAUCAUGUAGAGCUUUGUCAUAUCUUUCCAAUGAGUACUUAUGCGCUCAAUUCGGAGUUACAAAUUAGGAGAUAUCGCCGUUUGAACCCGGGUAUGUGGCUGUCCCAAGAAACAGAUUUCUGCAGGUGGGCGUACAGCAGUAGUAUUAGCAGUUUAUGGGGAUUUUUCGUUGGUAUUUAGUGAUAAACAGUAUGAGAAUUAUGUAGAGCUUUGUCAUACCUUUUCAACAAGUACUUAUGCGCUCAAUUUGGAAUUAUAAAUUAGGAGAUAUCGCUGUUUGAAUCCGGGUAUGUUGCUGUCCAAAAAAACAGAUUGCAGGGUUUAUCUUGUGGACUGUUUUGGACUAAUUAGAUGUUGGAAUUUAAUUAUAAAUUAUAUACAAAACUUGUGGGGAAUUUUAUGUAGAUGCCUCUGGAGUUUUUGUUUGUUACCACUGCUGUCAUAAUUUUAAAGUUAUGAAAUUGUUAAGCAGCAUCGCUGCAGUUUGGGGGUGUGGGGAGAGUUGUUACCCGCGGCGGGGUUUGAGAUUGUGCGUAGGUGCGGCGUCGUUUAUGAGCAUUAUUAUGUGAAAUUAGUGCACUAAGUUGUGUGUCAAAAACAGGUGGUGGACUUCCGGAUCAUACUUAGGGAUUUUCUCAAACUUCCGGUGAAGGCAAGUAAAACAGUGAUGGUUAUUCCGUCUGUCGAUUAAAGAGUCUUAUGCUUGAUUAUGUUUGUGUCAUUUGUGUUCGUAUUCAUAUUCCUAAUUGGGUACCAUCGUUUGAAGAUAUUCAUGUUUUAUUGAUUACAUAUGUUGAGUUUGUGGUUUGGUCAUGUUAUCCAUGUGGUUUAUUAUGUGGAAUGGGUAGAAGUAUAUGUCUAGCAUAUUUUAUUUGGGAAGGACUCAUAUUGUUGACAUGCAUAAUGCAUUCAUCAUCCAUUGCAUGGAAGUUUCGUCGCGAUCUUAUGGUCCGACCGUACUGGUACAAUGAGCAUCAUAUGUUGCCCGAGAAGGGGUAUGAUGCAGCUUCAUAUCCUUAGAGGUAAGAAGGCAGAAGUCAUUACUGCAUCUGUAGCCAUGUGCAUUCAUGGGAGAAGUGUGGAACCUAUUAUUAUGGUGAUGUGGAUAGUGUGGAUCUUUACUUUGUGAUUCAUCUUGGCAUUAAGUAAUUGGUUACUCGCUUACUUGCUGCAAAUUAAUAUUUAACAAAGAAGUUGUGAACUACAUGGUUGUUUAGGCACGGUUGGUUUACAUUGUCCAAUUGUUGUUUGCUCUUUUUACUUGCUGAGAUGUGUCACCUCACUCUUGCAUUGUCUGAUGCAGGCACCUGAUCUUUGCUUUGGGAAAGAAGGGAUGUAGCAGCACGGCCACUACACCAUUAAAUAAAGGAACCACUGCUUAAUAAUGAUGUUGAACAGGGAGGGUCAAGUCUAGGGGAUUAUUAUAUUCUAGCCUUUCAUGGUAGUUGUACUGUUUUUUUUGGUGGGCUGAGUUACCUAUCUUUUAUUUGGUCAUGAAUGUUCAUUACUACCGUUGCAUUUCGAUUAUACUAUGUGAAUUAUCUUUCUUUUAUAUCCUGUUUAAAUUAUAUGUUCCUCUUGUUAUGCUUCUUUCAAGGGAGGUGCUGCCAGAUUUUGCAAUACUUUCUUUCUCUAUUUCUUUUCUUGUGUUGCAUAAGUUUUGUGGGAAGGGUAUUUGGUAACAUCCAUUGUGUAGGAUCAGUGGGGUGUUACACCAAGACCAAAGACCUCAACCCAGAGAGCUUCGCCAAGACAACUCCUACAACGAUGACGAAUGGUAUGAUUGUUAUCAUAGCAAUUUUGCUUUUGAUGAUGCUUCUCAUUUAGCAGCAGAAUUGCAGGCUACCCCAUGGCCCCCAUCAUACAAGCCACCCCAGCUCCCUAUGUAUGAUGGACACUCAGACCUGAAGCAGUUUCUAAUGAGCUACGAAGCAACCAUAUCUUCAUAUGGGGGCAACACUGCAGUCAUGGCGAAUCCUUCGUCAUGGCGGUCAAAAAUGUCGCACAAACAUGGUACUCUUCUCUCCGACCAGGGACAAUCACGUCAUGGCAGAAGUUGAAGGAGAUGCUAAUCACUAGCUUCCAAGGAUUUCAGACGAAGACAGUCAUUGCCCAGGCUUUGUUCCAGUGCACUCAAGACCAUGAGGAGUACCUUCAGGCAUAUGUUUGAAGGUUCCUGCGUCUGAGAUCACAAGCGCCUACAGUGUCCAAUGAAAUUGUCAUUGAGGCCAUGAUUAAAGGGCUUCGACCAGGACCUACGGCUCAGUAUUUUGCCAGGAAACCCCCACAGACCCUGGAUAAGCUUCUUCAAAAGAUGGAUGAAUACAUCCGGGCUGAUAAUGAUUUCCGUCAGAGAAGGAAAGAAGCCUACAGGUUUUCUAAAAUGACCAGGGGCUUCGAAGGAAGAAUCCACCCCAGGCAUGUCAGAUCAAUCCAUAACUCUAGCCCAAGUGAUGACAGAGGGAGCCAGCCUCAAAGAACACAGCACAGCUCCCAAUCUUCAUGGCAACAACAAAGCUCUUUCAGGCCACUAGCCCCAAGGGGCAGAGGCGGCAGGGGCUUCAAAGGGAGGUACGGGGAUUAGCCCAGAAAGUUUUAUUGCUUAUUCUGUGGAGAAGACAAGGGCCAUACUACAAGAACAUGCCAAGUUACAAUUCAGACGCAAAAGGAGAUUGCCGAAGCUGAAGCACAGCAGAAACAGCCAAAGCAGGUUUUACAUACUGCUUCAUGCUACUCUCCCUAUGUACCAGAGUACGUAGGCAACCAACAACCUUCGGCUUCUGUUGCUUCGGCAAGUCAUUCUCAAGCUUCCUAGGCCCAGCUCUCGUUACCACCACCAUUACCACCCACUCAUACCCGAAGCCAACAGCCAGAAGGGCACCAGCAUGUUCACACAGCAGUGUGACUUCCGGGAAGAGUCCGAAGCUCGUACAGUCAACAACACUGUGUCAGAAUCUAAGCAUAUCUACUGAAGAAUAUCCUACUAUUGAUGUACCUUUAUCUUUUAUGCCAUUUUCAUUUUAGUAAGAAAAACAAGUAACAAAGGAUUAAAUUUCAAUUUCAUGUAAUAAUUGAGCCUGCAUCAAUGAGUAAAGAAUGUUUUCUUCACGAAAUUACGAAGCUACAAAAGUCGUUCCUAAGGGAGCGCAGAGUAAGUUUUCUGCUCAAAAGUCAUCCCUAAGGGGAUGCAGAGCCAAAAAUUCCACCGAAAUAGAAGGUGAAGAAGCUCAAAAGUCGUUCCUAAGGGGAUGCAGAGCUUAAAUGCCACCGAAAUAUAAGGUGAAGAAGCUCAAAAGUUGUUCCUAAGGGGAUGCAGAGCUUAAAGACUCAAAAGUCGUUCCUAAGGGGAUGCAGAGUCUUGUGUGUUUCAGUAUGGGAGUGUGUGUGUGUGUGUGUUUGACGUCAUCAUCAUACUGCAUCAUAUCAUAGCAUCAUUUCGCACAACAUUACAUCAUACAUCAUAUUGCAUUAACGGCAAAAGGAUUGGACACGAAGUAAAUUUUCGGCAAUACUUUGUUAAAUAAAAAUGUGCUGAGGCACGAAGCAAACUUCGAGAAACGCAAUUGUAUCAAACUGGCCAUAGAAGGGGCAUCUUUCUUUAUGAAGCAUGAAAAGAAGGGAAGGUGUUUUUUCGCCGAAGGCUCAAAAACGGUAUGUACGUAAGUUUCAUGCAUCGCAAAGAAAUAUAUUACAACAAUUUACAUGUCUCAUCAAUUGUUCAAAACACCAAAUGUUACAUAGUAUCAUUACAAUAAAGUUUAAUCUUCCUUAAGUAUUUUCUCUGUGGCUUCGUUCAGCAGCUUGUCAACGACUUCGUCGAUAAUGGAGUUAGCAAUGCUCAUUAUGUCUAGUGCUUCUUUCAUGACCGAGUCAGCUAGGGGGUUAUAUGGCUCGGGCAGCGGUGACAAGUCAGCUGUGUUAGGCAAGCCGUUAGUUCGAAGCCAGAAAAUAAGAGCCGAAGCUAAAAUUCAAAAACAUUACCUAUGCGCCUUUCGUGUUCAGCAGCUUCUUCGGCUUGUCUAGCUUCUUCUCGGGCUUCAUGUGUUUCCUUUUCAUUUUUCUUUAUAAUUUCAUUGGCCAAUUACCGGCCACCGUUCACCCAUACAUCAGAAUAAAAUUUUCCGCCCGCUAAAGUAGCGUCAGCCGAAGGGCCUUUCGUGUCAUCUAUGGAGAAGGCGGCCUCAGCCUGGGCAGCACUUUUAAUGUGGUCGCAACCAGCCUUCUCCAGAAUUGCCGCAAUACCUCGAGCACCAGAAAAGGCACAAAUAACCCUGCGAUCAUUCAGGACUUCUUCAAAGGCUUUGGCUUCCCCGCUUAUCCAAUCAAUGACGCCUUCGGGGUCGCCUCGAAUAAAUUUCUCUUCAGAAUAAUAAACACCUACUUUUGCAAAGCUGCUUUUCAAUUUUUUCACGCAAUCUAAGGAUUUUUCGAAGCACCUUUCCUUGGAUUCGCGAAGCUCCUCAACAUUUUUCUCUAGCCUAGUUUUUGACCAUUCACUAAUUUCUUCACUGGCUUUUGCAAGUGCAAAGUUCUCAUUAGCUUCGGCGAGCUUUUUCUGAAGGUCUUCGACCUCGGCUUUAUGAGCUUCGGCCUGAGCGUUGUAAUUUGCUUCAUCUUCCUUCACUUUACUCACCAAUGAAAUUAGAAUCUUGUCCUUCUCCAAGGUUUCGUUUCUUAGCUUAAUUACCUCUGAUCGAAGGUUGCCGAGAGCUAUAGUGCAGCUUUCGUCUUCUACAUUCUUUUGCGCCCUCAGGGCAUUGCUAAGAAUUAAGCCCUGCAAGAAAAAAGAAAGGAUUAGCAUGAGAAUGAAAGACUUCAUUUCCAAGUCCAUAAACUUUAAAGUUCACAGCUUCUGUACCUUUAUACUGUUGUAUGCGAGGCUGUCCGCAAGGUCAUCCUUCGACAUGGCGGCGAGGCCAGCUUCGAGCUUUGGAAAUCCCAUACUUUUGGCUACCCGGCAAACGGAUAUCUCUUUGUUGUCCGGGAGAUAGUACAGGAAAUCAUCUUCGUCCGUGUCGUUGAACACUAAGGCCCCCUUCGGAUAUUUCAGUUCCCGGGCAUAGUGUUUGGCUUCUAAAAUUUCUUCUUCGGAUAAUCUUUUCCCCGAAGCAUGUCGAAUAAUAUAAUCAAGAUCUUCGGAUGGAGCUUCGAGGGCAAGUGAUUUACCUUUCUCCGUCACGUCCUGCCCCGCUGCCAUGCCGGCAUUUGGAGAUUCUUGCUUAGUCUUAUCCUCAGUCGUGGCAGGCUUCGUCUCAAUGGGCACUGAAGGCCCAGCUUCGGCAACUUUCUUCGCAGGGGCAGGAGUCAAUGCCUUUGUGGUUUCCAUAACAGCGUCUAGCACGCUGGCCAUUCUCCUCCUCUUGGGAGUUGUGGCAGGAGCCUUUGUCACCUUUGGCAGUUCUGCCUCUACCGGUGGACUCAGAAGUUCUGUCAACAUUACUGUUUUUUCCAACUCUGGCUCUUUGCCCGCACCAUCUUUGGUUUCGGCUGACCCGACUAUAGGCACCUUCGGCACUACAGUCGAUCCUUCAGCGCUACGAACGGCGGGGGAAGCUUGUUCCGCUUCGGCAGCAGAAGAGGUGCCUUCACCAAAUUCAGGCACUACAGCCGUUUCAAUAUAUCGUGGUCGGUGGGUCAAAACCUUUAUUUUCUUGCCGUUCGGCACAACAGUGAUGGUCGAAGCGGCAGUUUUCCUCUUUUUUCCUUGCCUUCGUGAGGGGUAGCAGUAAUCAGGGUAUAUGAAACCAAUUGCAUCAAAAACCCUGUUCAAUCUUUUCUUGCCCCGACCCCCGAAGGCUGAGGAUAAAGCGUCAUCUUCGGCUCUGGUAUAUGCCCCAAGUAACUCGUCGCUAGUAGCCUCAAUACAUUUUAGCCAGUCAUCAUUUGGUUCAUCAAACCGGUCUCUGUAUCUGAAGGUAUAUUUCAAACGAAUUAAUCCACCUUCGCUGGACCCGGCAGUGGUCUCCUUCGGCAUCUCCCAGUUAUCCACAAGUGGCCAUACUCUGUAGGCUAGGUGCUCUUGGAUCAAGUCUCUUGUGCCAAUGAAAGCACAGACAUUGCUGAAAACCUUUUGGCAUGAUUCGGCAUCAUUUUCAAUCCCCACGGUCGGCCUUCGAAGGCCGAAGCGAGACCAUAUGGGGCGUUGGAUAAUCCCCUUUAUGUCUUCCCUUUUAACCAGAUCAUUUUUGACAUAAAACCACUCCUCCAUCCAGCCCCUGGGCCACCUUUUCCGAAAUGUUGGAACCAGAUAGCUUGCAUUAGAACGAGCAAUGAAUCCAUAACAACCGAAGUUGUUGUGAUACUGCUCUUUGCCAGUAGCCUUUGUCUCGUACAACAGUUCGUGCAUACUGCAAAAACACUUCGCGCUUGGUUCCAGCCCUUGGCUUCUCAUAGCCCAAACAAACAAACCCAUUCUGAUUAUAGCUUCGGGAGUAAGUUGAUGAAGAAAGAUCUGAAGGCUCGCCUUAAUGGGAACCGAAGGCUCGCCUUCAAAAAGCUUUUGUAGACAACAACCUCAUUUUCUUCAGGAGCAGGGGCGGUGCUGUCUCCUCCAACCCUCACAAUAGACAUGUCACGAAAGUAUCUUCCCUUCAUGGCAUCAAUAUGACUUUGCUUAAUGGUCAACUUUCCGAAGAUGGUAUGGCUUGGUCGCCAGGGCCGGUCCUCAGAAUCUUCAUCUCCACUUUCCACAUCAUAGUCAUCGCUAUCGUCGGAAUCUUCAGACAAAUCCGCCAUUAUUUCCUUUGUGAUCUUCUCUAUAUUUGUUUUUGCCAUAGAUUCGUAAAACCCAGCAAGAAAAGGGUCCGCAACUUUCUUCUCCUCCUCGGAUAUCUUCUUCUCCUCAGACAUCUUCUUCUCUUCAGACAUGGAACAAGCACUUGUCUUUAUCACGAAGCUCGAAAAUCAAGCGAGACCUAAUACACAAGAGUUGAAAAUUUGAGAAAAUAACGCAAGAAACAGAAAUGGUGUAGCAAAUGCUGCCGCUGUGGGUUUCUAUUUAUAUGCCUAGUGCAUUGUAACUUGGCAGGACCCAUUUGUCAUUGAUUUUCGCUAUUCUAGCGAAGGGAAGGUGUUUUUUUGGACCAUCGGCUAAAGGCCUUCGUUCACGUCGCAGUCUGAAUGUGUUAGAUACAAGAACAAAUUAAUACUGCGAGGGGCUACUGUUGGGGGCCUUCGUCUUCCGAAGGUCCUCAAAAACACGACUAACAUAUUUUCCAAGUGUAAUAUACUGUUACAGGAACCUUAGGCUUUGAGAUGAAGGUGCACAUGGUAUGAAAGGAGCGCUCUGGAAGAAGGAUGAGUCGGUUCCGAAGCUAUGGAUGAUGAAGCUUCGGCUUAGCGCAAAGACAGUGAUGGAGAAUGAAACCGACCUAAAGGGGAAAAGACUGCUUAGUCCUUGACAGAUUAUUCCUUAGUCAAUAGAAAAUGUCAAGGACUUGGAUGUAAUUUUACCCAGGCUGUGUCAUGUGCCUAUAAAUAGAUGAACAGUAACACUGUACUGUUCACCUUGACUGGGAUUCACUCGCACGUCACUCUUGAAUUCUUACCUUCUGUCAAGCCGAAGGUAUAAAUGUAACUCAAUAUCGUUAAUGUUUGUUCAUGAUCAUAUAAUGAGAAGAUAGAUGAUCUAAUGAUUUGAUAUGAGUAUUUAUAUUAUCUGUAUGUAACAUAUGUACCUGAUUUUCAUUACAUAUUGAGAUGAUGAAGGUAUGUCCUUCAUUACCUUCGUCUGAAGAUCAUUAUAUCCUAAGGGAGAUAAUGCUUCGAAGGACGAAGGUCGUUAAUCAUUAACAUUUGUGUUGCCUUGUUCUUAACUCGUAGCAUUUGUGAACAAGUGAACAUCGUUUUCUAUAUUGUUUUUAUUAUUUUCUUGGUUCACUGGACUGUGCGCCAAAUAUUGGAAAGCGCAGGGAUCUCUGCGCAAGAAUUCCCAAGACACAGAACUACAUCCAUACGGACGGCGGGUUGAUUAGCUAAUUCUUGGAGGGCUCUUUAGCAAAAUGGUCGCUGCAAAGGGGUAUGGAUAGACUUCGGCCGUUGAAUCCACCGUGUGUGGUCUGGAUUAGAUCCGCAUAACCCUGAGCCAGUACGCAAUUGUGCCCGUUGGAUUUGCAACUGACGACCCAAGAUUCGCCAUGCCAAGCACCUACCCAUGGCCAUCGUAUGGAUAAUAUAUGGCUCAGAUUUAAUUCUCGUGAAUGGUUACGCUCUCAUCUAAUCGCAUCCGUCCGAGCUAGAUCGGACGACACUCACGCCUUCUCCUACCUCCCCACUACCAGACCUGGCCCCGCCUAGGCUUACACCGACGAGCUCGCCGGAGCAGGCCCCAUAUCGCAUCGGCAACACCCCCGAUCACUACUAAAUGAAAGAGAACGCGAGGGAGAUGAGGAAUUAGGUGGAUGGAUACUCACCAACAACGACGCAACACCGAAGCCUGGCCCCGGCCGUACGCGGUACUACGGUGGCGGCAAGAUUCCGGGGAGAAAUUCCCUGUACCCACGGCAGCAAUCUGCACGGUGAGGGCACCGCCACCCACAACAUCCACCAGUGAACGCCAUGAGCAGCAAAUCGGGGUUUGACGAUGGCGUGACCGAUUCUGGCUCCCGGCGGUCAUCAGCUCACAUCGCCGACUCCCCCACACCAUUUGGCCAGGGCACCACGACAUCCCACGGCGGCCGCACUCCCGGCGGUCAUCAGCUCACAUCGCCGACUCCCCCACACCAUUUGGCCAGGGCACCACGACAUCCCACGGCGGCCGCACCAACCCGCGCACCCAUCCGAGCGCCAUGCGAUUUGCCAGAGGAAUCUAUCGAGCAUGGGCGAAGGCCUGCGCACGAUUUCGGUCGACGGACCCCGCACCUCGACGACGUGCGCAGAAGACGAGGGCACCGGUCUUCCUUCCGCCCAGCAGGUUCCCCGGCUCCCGAGAUCUCUGUGUUUGCCCCGAACGGCCACAUCGGCGAGCAGACCUAGUGGCGGCUAUGACUUUUCUCUCUCAUGGCUGUGUUCGGCUAUGGCGCUCGCUGCUGGUGAUGGUCAAGACGAUGCGAGGAGUGGGGAGGUCGCGGCUAGG
rnacentral:lncRNA from 1 species